AAAAGAAAAACUCCUAUUUUAUUGGGGGAAGAUUUUGUAUAAAAUAAAUUACAGAUUGACACACAAACAGAGUGUAGACACAAGAAAUUUUUGGGAAAAAAUACACACACAAUGUAGAUGCUAGUGAUCGAAGGCGUCGGUCGGAGGAUUUUGAGGUGAAGCGUCGAUCGGAGGCGGCAGCACGUGCCGUCGAUUGUAGUCGUCGAGCGAAGUAGUAAUGUAGAAGUUACUUCAAAUCAGUGAGGAACGAUUGAGA
rnacentral:lncRNA from 1 species